GGAACUCCGAAAAAAAAAUCUUGGGAAUUAUUUAGAGGAAAAAUAUGUGUUAGACGUUUCAGAAGAAUACAUCUUUGAUCUAAAUUACCAGAUUAACUUCCAGAAUACCUGGUGAGGAUGAUACUCUGUAGUUGCCUUGAAUCCUAGUCUCUGCUGUGCCAUCGGGACUGCCGAGGCGGGGAGACGGAGGGAAAGGCUGGAGUGCUGGCAGAAGGUUCUGCGAUUCUGGAUAAUAAAAGAUAUAUGUACUGGCUCCUGAAUAUAAAAGGCAGCAUUGUCAGACCUGAGGCACACAGCUGCAGGGCUUUCUCUGAGAUCUAUAACCAGAAGGUGUUUGCGUGCCAUGCCAAUGGUCUUUCUGGAGCCAUGGAGUGAAGAGGGAAUUUUCCCCAGAGGGCAGAAGAGUAUGCGUGCUGGAGCCAAGCAGACAUUUCCCAGGCUCCGGUAUUGUCCUGUUAGCCAGCAAUGAGCAGAUGUUAGCUUCUUCUGAUGCACAAGGAAGAAGAGUGCAAUGUUCUCACCAUCCUGAUGUCAUCUCCGAUUGUUGUUUUUGCUGUCCUUCUAAAUAAUAGCGUUUCUGGCAUGAGGACUUAUCUCAGGAUUCAGCCCAGUCGUGUUCUGAGAUCCCUGGGCCCCGACGCUGAUGGAUUUAUGCAGGUUGUGAUUCUCUGACUAAUUUGCUUUGAAUGAGGUGAACACUUGGGAAAACCAAAAUGUCAUUUCCAAGAUUUUACAUCCUAACGGGAAAUACAGCAGGAAAUGUAGAGAGAGAAAAAUAUUUUUCACCUCUGAGUGUCAAAAUGGACUUUUUGUUUGUCGUUUAAAUUAAUUGGAGAAAAAGAAAAGAUAACCCAGUUAUAUUUUGUUCUUCUUUACACAAAAAUUGUAAGACCUUGCAAUACUUCUGUUUCUUCCCCUUUUGCUAUCAUAAGUGAUUUUAAACAUUCUCCAUGCGGCUGGAAACGGAAUAAUUUCAUGGCUUCCCUGUUGUGCUAUGUGAAUAUGUAGGUUAGUCUUUUUGCCCUGAACGUCUCCUCACACUUCUGUUAAGGAGCCCAGAAUUGAACCUCUUUCAAAGGAAGUCACCACAGGGGAGGUCACCUGGAAACUCAGGACCAGAGGUGGAUACCACUCCUGACCGUCUCUCUCCUUUACUUCUGCAUGGCACUGUCCUGUACCCUUCGGAGGAAUUGUGAUCCUGACUUCGCAUAAAAGGAAACUUUGGUGGGGGUGGCUGGGUAACCUGUUGAAAGGAACAGAAUCAGUAAGUGAGGAACCCACGUCUGACCACUUGCAGGAAUCAUUCAAUGCUUCGGGUACUUCAUUACAGCCCAGUGAGAGGCAGUGAGGGGAGUUCUGAGGACCAGCAGUUAAUGUUGGUCUGGACAUUUGGAUGAAAUGAAGUAAAACCUGCGGAAGGCUUUGGAUGAGUUUCUGCAAUAAAAUUAUCUUUUUCUAAUUCUUCAGCCCAAAAAGCUCCUCAAAUAGAUCCAACUUCAGGGGGCUUGCCCUUCUUUCCCAGGCUCUUUCAAGGAUGGUCCUCUGUAGGGUGUCAGUGGGGACCAGCUCCAUGCGGUUCCUCCACCAGGGAAAGGAUGAGGGGAAGGACGGGGCUGCCUGGCGGCUGCUGCUGACAGAGACCCAGUGGUCCAUACAUUCCCCGCCACCUGGAGGCUUCCUUUUCUUUACUUAAGCCAGUUUUCUUCUAACUCUGUGUGUUGGCGAAAAGGAAGAAGAUGUGAUUUAAAAAACUGGGUCACACGUCCCAUCAGCAUGCCUGAAGCACUCAGAGGAACUCAGUACGAUUUUUAAGAACUUCAGUAGGUCUGUACUUGGAAACGAUCCUUAGUUAUUCUGUUCCCUUAUACAAUAGAAUUGUCUGCAUGAGCAAGCCACACAAACUCUCCAGGCCUCACAGUCACAUAAACUUUGAAAUGAAGAGGGUGACUAAUGUAAAGUUUUGACAAUGAGGUUCUGCAAAAAUCCAAAUAUAUACCAAGGCCAGCACGUAGAAAUAAGUUGAUGGAGUCGACCAUAAGCUCUUCAAGGGCAGGGACCACCUCUCUAAUUUCUUUUGAUUCCUCUAAUGCUUGGUGCUUAGCGCCGAGCAGGUGUUCCUAAGCCUCCUUGGCUGUCGAGCCAAGUGCUAAGAUUCAGAAGCUUUAUUUGUCCGCACCAAUCUGUGCUGGGGGCCUUCCCUGCCAAAAGGGGCCGUGAAUUAAAGAUUCCAUAAUUAGACACCGUGCUGCCCCGGGCACUCUGUCCCUGCUUGUCAGUGUCCCCACGAUGGCACGUGACAGUUGCCGGUCUCUCCGGGGCACCUGUUCAGCUGAUGGGAAUGUUAAUUUUACUUUAUUUUUAUUCUGCACAGAGGAAAGCACAUUAUUCAAGCCCAUUGAAGAAUUUAUUGCCACUUAAAACUCAAGAGAGGGAUUAUUCCCCCCUUCAAUGGCAAGUCAUGGAUGGGGCAGUAUAAAUGACAAAACUGAGAAAAGGCCAGUCUGCCUAUGGAAAUCAAACACAUGUAGUGUAAACAGUCUGGAAAGGGAUAUGUGUGUAUACACUUUAAUCCUAUUUAUUUGGCACUUACUAUGUCUCACAAAUUUUAUGUAGGGCAUGCUAUUAUUCCACUUUAUCUUCACUAAACUCCCAUGACAAAGUUAGUACAUUAUUAGUCCAUUUUAGAAAUGAGAAAGUAGGUUUAGGAAGAUAAAACAGCUUGCCCAAGGUCAAGGAAAUGAUAACUGGUG